AUCCAUGUAUCUGUCAGGGUCCGAGCCUUGUUAAUAGGGUAAAUAACUGAAAUGAAAAUUUGAAAAUGAGAUUGAUUGAUUUGGCACUAUUGAAAAGUACGAGAAAGAAUGUAUGAAUUAAAUUAUGAAAAUAAAAAUAAAAAAUUUCAGAAUACUCGAGCAAAUUUCGUUCCACUUUUAAUACAUGGUGUGGGCUUCG
rnacentral:lncRNA from 1 species